rnacentral:rRNA from 1 species
AUUGAACGCUGGCGGCAUGCUUUACACAUGCAAGUCGAACGGUAACAGGCCGCCAGGUGCUGACGAGUGGCGAACGGGUGAGUAAUGCAUCGGAACGUGCCCAGUCGUGGGGGAUAACUACUCGAAAGAGUAGCUAAUACCGCAUACGAUCUAUGGAUGAAAGCGGGGGACCGUAAGGCCUCGCGCGAUUGGAGCGGCCGAUGUCAGAUUAGGUAGUUGGUGGGGUAAAGGCUCACCAAGCCAACGAUCUGUAGCUGGUCUGAGAGGACGACCAGCCACACUGGGACUGAGACACGGCCCAGACUCCUACGGGAGGCAGCAGUGGGGAAUUAUGGACAAUGGGCGCAAGCCUGAUCCAGCAAUGCCGCGUGCAGGAAGAAGGCCUUCGGGUUGUAAACUGCUUUUGUACGGAACGAAACGGCUCUGGUUAAUACCCGGGGCUAAUGACGGUACCGUAAGAAUAAGCACCGGCUAACUACGUG